AAAAAGGGCUUGUGCUAUGUAUGGCACAUUGUGAUCUCCCGCAUGGGGAUUGCGGUGCGGAAUCCAUAGAUAUUUCGGAAGGAUAAUUUUUAUAAUGGGCUGCUUGUGAGCGGCUCUCCGGGCACCCCU
rnacentral:snRNA from 1 species